rnacentral:rRNA from 1 species
UACGUGACCUCCAAGCGUUAUCCGGAUUUAUUGGGCGUAAAGAGUCUUAAGGCGGUUUAGAAAGUCUUUGGUCAAAUUCUUGGGGCUUAACCUCAAGGUCGCCAGGGAUACUUCUAAACUAGAGGACGUUAGGGGCCAGUGGAACGCACGGUGUAGGGGUGGAAUCCGUUGAUAUCGUGCGGAACACCAAAAGCGAAGGCAACUGGCUGGGGCGGUCCUGACGCUGAUUGACGAAAGCUGAAGUAGCGAAGAGGAUUAGAUACCCCAGUA